UUAAGUGACGAUAGCCUAGGAGAUACACCUGUACCCAUGCCGAACACAGCAGUUAAGCCCUAGAACGCCGGAAGUAGUUGGGGGUUGCCCCCUGUGAGAUAUGG
rnacentral:rRNA from 1 species